GAAAAUCUGACGGAGCAACGCCGCGUGAGUGAUGAAGGUUUUCGGAUCGUAAAACUCUGUUAUUAGGGAAGAACAAAUGUGUAAGUAACUGUGCACAUCUUGACGGUACCUAAUCAGAAAGCCACGGCUAACUACGUGCCAGCAGCCGCGGUAAUACGUAGGUGGCAAGCGUUAUCCGGAAUUAUUGGGCGUAAAGCGCGCGUAGGCGGUUUCUUAAGUCUGAUGUGAAAGCCCACGGCUCAACCGUGGAGGGUCAUUGGAAACUGGGAAACUUGAGUACAGAAGAGGAAAGUGGAAUUCCAUGUGUAGCGGUGAAAUGCGCAGAGAUAUGGAGGAACACCAGUGGCGAAGGCGACUUUCUGGUCUGUAACUGACGCUGAUGUGCGAAAGCGUGGGGAUCAAACAGGAUUAGAUACCCUGGUAGUCCACGCCGUAAACGAUGAGUGCUAAGUGUUAGGGGGUUUCCGCCCCUUAGUGCUGCAGCUAACGCAUUAAGCACUCCGCCUGGGGAGUACGACCGCAAGGUUGAAACUCAAAGGAAUUGACGGGGGCCCCGCACAAGA
rnacentral:rRNA from 1 species